CGUGAAUAUGCCAAACCGCGUGGUGCACAUUUGCGUUGUUUAAUUUGUAAACAUAAUGCAGUGGUACUAUCGAGUGCGUUUCAGUGUGUUCAACUCAUUUCAAACUAUGUUGAUGUCAGUUUUUAUACAUAUUCUCUAAAGUUGGUGAUUAAUUCGGACUUUUAGUGAUAUUUUGGUGUCUGUUUUUUUAUGUAAUUUUUUUUUUGUUUAGUGCAGUGCUUGUAAAUUAGUAAUUAAUUCCGAUUUUUAGCGCUAUUUUGGUGGCCGACUUUUUACUUGUUUUCAAAAGUAAAUUUAUUUAGUGCAGUGUGAAUUAGUAUUUUUUACUUCAAAAUAAAUGUGUGUCGUGAUUUUAGUGUAAAUAAAUUGUCGUCUAUUCAGUGACCAGGAUUUCCGACGGGGGCUCGCUUCUGAGAAUCGAGAGACAACAAAUUGGGAAUAUGAUGUCCCAAAAGGAUCGGUGCUUCUUCGCUUACGAAUAUCGAUUAUAUUGUGAGGCUGAACUCUCGUGUGGACAAUUAGUGGUCUUGCAAUCCAAAAAGUGAUGUUUUCAUAUGGAAGUACGUGACUUUCUGCAGGCAUGAGCUACACACAAGG